CCCCGGGCACACGAGGCAUCCUCUGCGGUUGCGCAGCCCGCCGAAGAGCGUGCGACUUCUACUGCGGCUGCGCAAGCUGGACGCGCGCAGUCUUGUCUGCUUACGAGGGCUCCUCCCUUCAUCUUUGGUCCCUCGGGGCGUCUGGGCAGCCUACGCUUUCCG
rnacentral:lncRNA from 1 species